rnacentral:rRNA from 1 species
CUUCGGAGUCUUGGAGACAGGUGGUGCAUGGUUGUCUUCAGCUCGUGUCGUGAGAUGUUGGGUCAAGUCCCGCAACGAGCGCAACCCUUGUCCGUAGUAGCCAGCAGUAAGAUGGGAACUCUAUGGAGACUGCCGGGGAUAACCCGGAGGAAGGUGGGGAUGACGUCAAAUCAUCAUGCCCCUUACGGUCUGGGCGACACACGUGCUACAAUGGCGUAACAAAGGGAAGCGAGCCCGCGAGGGGGAGCAAACCCCAAAAAUAGCGUCCCAGUUCGGACUGUAGUCUGCAACCCGACUACACGAAGCCGGAAUCGCUAGUAAUCGCGGAUCAGAAUGCCGCGGUGAAUACGUUCCCGGGUCUUGUACACACGCA